GGCCCGUUGGUGCAGCGGCAGCAUCUCGCACUCUCAAUGCGAAGACGCAGGGUUCGAUUCCCGCACGGGCCG
rnacentral:tRNA from 1 species